ACGCUAGCGAUAGGCUUAACACAUGCAAGUCGAGGGGCAGCAUGGUCUUAGCUUGCUAAGACUGAUGGCGACCGGCGCACGGGUGCGUAACGCGUAUGCAACUUGCCUCACAGAGGGGGAUAACCCGUCGAAAGACGGACUAAUACCGCGUACACUUGGGAUAGGGCAUCCUGACCCAAGGAAAUGAAAUUCGCUGUGAGAUAGGCAUGCGUCCCAUUAGCUAGUUGGUGAGGUAACGGCUCACCAAGGCGACGAUGGGUAGGGGAACUGAGAGGUUGGACCCCCACACUGGUACUGAGACACGGACCAGACUCCUACGGGAGGCAGCAGUGAGGAAUAUUGGUCAAUGGGCGAGAGCCUGAACCAGCCAAGUCGCGUGAAGGAUGACUGUCUUAUGGAUUGUAAACUUCUUUUAUACGGGAAUAACAAGAGCCACGUGUGGCUCCCUGCAUGUACCGUAUGAAUAAGCAUCGGCUAACUCCGUGCCAGCAGCCGCGGUAAUACGGAGGAUGCGAGCGUUAUCCGGAUUUAUUGGGUUUAAAGGGUGCGUAGGCGGCCUGUUAAGUCAGCGGUGAAAUCUAGGAGCUUAACCCCUAAAUUGCCAUUGAUACUGGCGGGCUUGAGUGUAGAUGAGGUAGGCGGAAUGCGUGGUGUAGCGGUGGAAUGCAUAGAUAUCACGCAGAACUCCGAUUGCGAAGGCAGCUUACUAAGGUACAACUGACGCUGAAGCACGAAAGCGUGGGUAUCAAACAGGAUUAGAUACCCUGGUAGUCCACGCAGUAAACGAUGAUAACUGGGCGUAUGCGAUAUACAGUAUGCUCCUAAGCGAAAGCGUUAAGUUAUCCACCUGGGGAGUACGCCGGCAACGGUGAAACUCAAAGGAAUUGACGGGGGCCCGCACAAGCGGAGG
rnacentral:rRNA from 1 species